AUCUGCCCUGCUUUGCCUCUCUGGGAUCUGGCUCUCAGCACUCGACUGUCCCUGUCCUCACCAGCUCUGCUCUGUCAUGCUUUGAGAGUGUGAAGUCAAACAUCACAGCAGCUCCUACCUGACAUGGGAACCAUAGCUACAACUGAAGACCUUCAGUUCAGCAAGCUGUCAGCUAAGGAGAGCUGGGAAGGAGCUGUGCCAUCCCACGAGGUGGAUUUGUCUCCUGGGAGGAGCAGAGCAGGAGCCAGCAGCUCCUUGAGCCUUCUUCCCAUCUUGGAGAGCGCUGUCCUUCGCUCAGAUCCCACAGGGAUGUAAAUCCAGCUGAGUGUUGGAAAGGAUGACUUGAAGGAGAGCUGAAGUCUGGAAGAAGCUCUGGGCAGUCGCUGGAUCAGGGAUUUUGAAUUAGCCUCGUUAACGUGCAUUAAUUAGAUUUCUGCAGAGCCAGAGACAUCAGGCUUCAGGAAAACAAUAUCCUGCCUUUUGUCAGCAGCCUCACAGAUGCUCCAGAGGAAGGGGAGCUGUGCCCUCCCCAGGGCCAGCAGCUCCAGGAGGGACAUUCCAGAGGGAGCCCCAGCUGGGGAUGCUCAGACAGCCCCAAAAACAAGAAGUGGUGGAAGAUGCUGCCGUGGGAGAGGUGUA